CUAUUUUCAGGUUGGGACUGAAGGCCUUGUUUUGAGGGUGUUUUGCAGACCAGUGGUUGUCGGCCUGGUGAUUUUCAAGAAAAACUGUAGACUGCCCCCUUAAGGUUGGGACUGAAGGCCUUGUUUUGAGGGUGUUUUGCAGACCAGUGGUUGUCGGCCUGGUGAUUUUCAAGAAAAACUGUAGACUGCCCCCUUAAGGUUGGGACUGAAGGCCUUGUUUUGAGGGUGUUUUGCAGACCAGUGGUUGUCGGCCUGGUGAUUUUCAAGAAAAACUGUAGACUGCCCCCUUAAGGUUGGGACUGAAGGCCUUGUUUUGAGGGUGUUUUGCAGACCAGUGGUUGUCGGCCUGGUGAUUUUCAAGAAAAACUGUAGACUGCCCCCUUAAGGUUGGGACUGAAGGCCUUGUUUUGAGGGUGUUUUGCAGACCAGUGGUUGUCGGCCUGGUGAUUUUCAAGAAAAACUGUAGACUGCCCCCUUAAGGUUGGGACUGAAGGCCUUGUUUUGAGGGUGUUUUGCAGACCAGUGGUUGUCGGCCUGGUGAUUUUCAAGAAAAACUGUAGACUGCCCCCUUCGUAUGUGUGCGUCGUUGUGUCUUUGUGCGAUUUAGCAGCAGUUAGUAGGACCGAAAUCGCACAGCGGUGAUGUAAACUGCACUAUUCAGUUUAAACCAUCCAAGGACGCGAAUGUGUUAAACAAAUAAUUGUGUCCCGAUUGUGUAUGUUUACGAUGGAUUAUUUAAACACAUCGUGAAUAUUAAACAGUGUUGGACUAUAUUACUCGAAUGAAACCGGUGAUACUGCAUUUUCGAUUUCUUUAAAAUUUACUCGAAUAACGCGAUGUUUUGUUGAACAAUUGACGAAUAAAGAAAGGUGUCAGUGAAAUUUUCUUUUACUUUUCUAUGGAAAUCUUUGAUGAAUAAGACGUUCCUUUGUCAGUCGAUCAAAGAAUGUCUAUCCACAAAAAUUUGCCUGCUUGCACCAAGACCAAGGGAUUUAAAAUGGAAA